CGGCAAUGGAGGAAACUCUGACCGAACAACGCCGCGUGAACGAUGAAGUAUUUCGGUAUGUAAAGUUCUUUUAUUGGAGAAGAAAAAAUAGUGGAAAAACUAUCUUGACGAUAUUCAAUGAAUAAGCCCCGGCAAACUAUGUGCCAGCAGCCGCGGUAAUACAUAGGGGGCGAGCGUUAUCCGGAAUUAUUGGGCGUAAAGGGUGCGUAGGCGGUUUGGUAAGUCUAUAGUUUAAUUUCAGUGCUUAACACUGUUCUGCUAUAGAAACUAUCAGACUAGGGUGAGAUAGAGGCAAGUGGAAUUCCAUGUGUAGCGGUAAAAUGCGUAAAUAUAUGGAGGAACACCAGAGGCGUAGGCGGCUUGCUGGGUCUUCACUGACGCUGGGGCACGAAAGCGUGGGGAGCAAACAGGAUUAGAUACCCUGGUAGUCCACGCCGUAAACGAUGAGUACUAAGUGUCGGGGAAACUCGGUACUGAAGUUAACACAUUAAGUACUCCGCCUGAGUAGUACGUACGCAAGUACGAAACUUAAAGGAAUUGACGGGACUCCGCACAAGCGGUGGAUCAUGUUGUUUAACUCGAAGAUACACGAAAAACCUUACCAGGUCUUGACAUACUCUGCAAAGCUAUAGCAAUGUAGUGGAGGUGAUCAGGGAUACAGGUGGUGCAUGGUUGUCGUCAGCUCGUGUCGUGAGAUGUUAGGUUAAGUCCUAAAACGAGCGCAACCCUUGUCACUAGUUGCCAGCAUGUUAUGAUGGGCACUUUAGUGAGACUGCCAAUGAAAAAUUGGAGGAAGGUGAGGAUCACGUCAAAUCAUCAUGCCCCUUAUGAUCUGGGUUACAAACGUGAUACAAUGGCUGUUACAAAGAGUAGCUGAA
rnacentral:rRNA from 1 species